UACGGAGGGUGCGAGCGUUGUCCGGAAUCACUGGGCGUAAAGGGCGCGUAGGCGGUCUGCUAAGCGUGUGGUGAAAGCUCGGGGCUCAACCCCGAGUCCGCCAUGCGAACUGGUGGACUUGAGCACUGUAGAGGCAGGUGGAAUUCCGGGUGUAGCGGUGGAAUGCGUAGAGAUCCGGAAGAACACCAGUGGCGAAGGCGGCCUGCUGGGCAGUUGCUGACGCUGAGGAGCGAAAGCCAGGGGAGCAAACGGG
rnacentral:rRNA from 1 species